CAACAAAUGCCCUGCUUCCAGGAAAAGCCUCUAAGCAUCAGGUAACAUCAAAUCGUACCCCAAACCGACACAGGUGGUCAGGUAGAGAAUACCAAGGCGCUUGAGAGAACUCGGGUGAAGGAACUAGGCAAAAUGGUGCCGUAACUUCGGGAGAAGGCACGCUGACACGUAGGUGAAGUGAUUUACUCACGGAGCUGAAGUCAGUCGAAGAUACCAGCUGGCUGCAACUGUUUAUUAAAAACACAGCACUGUGCAAACACGAAAGUGGACGUAUACGGUGUGACGCCUGCCCGGUGCCGGAAGGUUAAUUGAUGGGGUCAGCGCAAGCGAAGCUCCUGAUCGAAGCCCCGGUAAACGGCGGCCGUAACUAUAACGGUCCUAAGGUAGCGAAAUUCCUUGUCGGGUAAGUUCCGACCUGCACGAAUGGCGUAAUGAUGGCCAGGCUGUCUCCACCCGAGACUCAGUGAAAUUGAACUCGCUGUGAAGAUGCAGUGUACCCGCGGCAAGACGGAAAGACCCCGUGAACCUUUACUAUAGCUUGACACUGAACAUUGAGCCUUGAUGUGUAGGAUAGGUGGGAGGCUUUGAAGUGUGGACGCCAGUCUGCAUGGAGCCGACCUUGAAAUACCACCCUUUAAUGUUUGAUGUUCUAACGUGGACCCGUAAUCCGGGUUGCGGACAGUGUCUGGUGGGUAGUUUGACUGGGGCGGUCUCCUCCUAAAGAGUAACGGAGGAGCACGAAGGUUGGCUAAUCCUGGUCGGACAUCAGGAGGUUAGUGCAAUGGCAUAAGCCAGCUUGACUGCGAGCGUGACGGCGCGAGCAGGUGCGAAAGCAGGUCAUAGUGAUCCGGUGGUUCUGAAUGGAAGGGCCAUCGCUCAACGGAUAAAAGGUACUCCGGGGAUAACAGGCUGAUACCGCCCAAGAGUUCAUAUCGACGGCGGUGUUUGGCACCUCGAUGUCGGCUCAUCACAUCCUGGGGCUGAAGUAGGUCCCAAGGGUAUGGCUGUUCGCCAUUUAAAGUGGUACGCGAGCUGGGUUUAGAACGUCGUGAGACAGUUCGGUCCCUAUCUGCCGUGGGCGCUGGAGAACUGAGGGGGGCUGCUCCUAGUACGAGAGGACCGGAGUGGACGCAUCACUGGUGUUCGGGUUGUCAUGCCAAUGGCACUGCCCGGUAGCUAAAUGCGGAAGAGAUAAGUGCUGAAAGCAUCUAAGCACGAAACUUGCCCCGAGAUGAGUUCUCCCUGAGACUUAGAGUCUCCUGAAGGAACGUUGAAGACGACGACGUUGAUAGGCCGGGUGUGUAAGCGCAGCGAUGCGUUGAGCUAACCGGUACUAAUGAACCGUGAGGCUUAACCUUACAACGCCGAAG
rnacentral:rRNA from 1 species